AAGUUAUAAUAAGGUUUCCGUUAGUAAACCAGUAGAGGGAUUAUUAGCAAAUUUAGUUUUUUAAAACUAUUGUAAAAGUACCUAUAGUAUUACUUUAGUGGGAUAACUCCCACUAGCAGUAUUAAACUCUGUAAUUAUUGUAUUUUUAAGUAAACUUUUAAUAAGUCAAAACUUUUAAUAAUGGAUCUUUUGGUUCUA
rnacentral:misc_RNA from 1 species